UAUAUAUAAUGUUAUUUUAUUGUAAAUAUUUCGAUUAGGCGCUUCAGAGGUAAGAAUUGUUACAUCCUAUAGUAUAUUGAUUGUAUCUCAUUAUAAGUGAACGUUAUGUUUUUAUGAGAAAUAAAUUCUUUAAACCUA